rnacentral:lncRNA from 1 species
AUACAAUUAUAAUUUUUUAAGUAUAAGUAGACAUUUAUUUAUAUGUUAUAUAAUAAACUUACUUAUACUUAAAAACUAGGGCCUAGACGUUAGGCACUUGAUUGUCGUCCGACUAGCGCCUAAUGCCUUUUUGAUUAAGAAACAUGUGUAAAAAUUGAUCAAGUGAACUUUUUACAUUAGAAAACAUGUUUAAAACUCACUAAGUUUGGGAUAUUUAUUUUGAAAAUUAUUUUUGGGUCUUAAUGUGUGUGCCUGGUGGGGCCCAAUUCUUUGGUGUUGUUCCCCCCUUCGGCCCACUCUCCUAUCUUCUCUCUUCUCUCUCCCCGUUAAAGUUCUCUCUCUCACCUCUCUCCCUCAACUCACUCUCAACUUUCUUUUUUCUCUCUUAGCAAGCACCAAGAUGGUGCCAAUGGAAAGCCCCAUUUGAAAACCACCAUUUGCGGCGAGGCCUUUCACCCACCACUACUUGGACCUCGUCACCAUGAACCCUAGACAAGGACUUGGGAACUCAACAUGGUAAAGGCCACGGUUCGUGAUCUCCAGCGAGUCUCCCACACCUCCGACGUUGGUGAGCCUCGAAAAACUCUAAACCUUUCCCUUUGGUCCUCAUAUUUAGUUUUUGACCGUAUUGGUGUGUUUUGGACGUCAAAUGUUUUGGACAUCAAACUACAAAGAAAACACCACAGGAAGGCUAAUUUCGAGGUUCUGGAUCCGUUUUCGACGUCAGUUUUCCCAAAUUCAAUCGUUAUGAUAGUGUUUUAUUAAUUGGUACCUUUAUGUGCUUAGGUGCAAUUGUGUAUGGCAUUUUCAUCCUCUCUUGUUUGCACGGCUCUUAGCCAACUGGGUAAGGUGAGUGGACCCUUUCUAAAAUGGAUAUUUUUCUAUUAGAAAUACAUACAUGAAAAACAUGAUUUUAUGACUACUUUUUAUGCAACGUUUAUGAGUAAAUUAGUUUCACACUUUAUGAUAAUCAUGCUUUAUCGAUUCUACGUUCUUCGUAGUAUAUAUGAUAGAUGACUAUAUACUAUGAAGAUAUUUUACGAUACGACGUUUUAACUACUGAACUCGGAUUAAGAUAGUUAUAUAUAUUAGAAAUUUUAUGUUAAUGUCCUUACGUACUUACUUAGUGGUUAUUCGAAUGUCCUGCAUACGGGCGAUGAGACUUAUAUUGGCUUCGGCCUCACGUUGGUAGAUGGCUUCGGUCGGGCGUGUGUAGGAGCCUACGGGUGAGAGAUAUUUAUAUUGUCUUCAGCUGGGUGUUGGUAGAUGGUUUCGGCCAGGAGAUAUAUGAAUUGGCUUCGGCCGGGCAUGUGUAGGAGCCUACGAACGAGAGAUAUUUAUAUUGGCUUCAGCCGGGCGUUGGUAGAUGGCUUUGGCCAAGCAUGUGCAGGUGCCUACGGGCGAGAGAUAUAUUAUUGGCUACAGCCGGGUGUUUGGUUGGUGCCUACGGGCGAUGGUUUUGCUUAUGGGCAUAUGAUCUGCCUACGUGCACGUGGUGUAGAACCUUCAGAUGAAUGAAGAAGUGUUUUAUAUGCCUUCGGACGAAUGAAAUACUAUAUAUAUGUAUAUUCAUUAUAUAUAUAUAUAUACCACUACUAAACACACUAUAUAUGAUAUAUGUUUUAUUGAAAGGUUUUAUGGCAUGCUAGGAUUUUUGGAAAACCUACUACAUAUUAUGCUAUAUGAGAUUUCUAAACCGGGGGUUAGUACGUUAAAGAUUAACUGUUUGAUUACUACUUAUAUAUCAACUUGGUCCACUCAUGUUUUGUUUUGCCCCCCCUCAGGACUUAGAAUCAAGGCAUACAAUCAUGGUGUCAAGGCACUUCCGCAUCGGCACCUUCGAGUCCUCUCGGUGUAGGACCCUAUCCUUUGUUUAUUCAAUUUUAUUAUUCCUUUCUAGUGUUUCAGUUUAGUUGUGUGCUCUGAACACGUUACUCAUUUGCAUAUUCAUUGUAUUUAAAUUUAUAAGUUUUAUUUAUAUUCUUUGGUUCUCAUGCAUGUUAGUAUGACUUCGUCACCUUUGAGUAUCGACGAACACGUGCCGACCCUAGGUAUUUGGAGGUUAUCUGGGUCAGGCGUGUCAGAGGUGAUUUAGCAACUUGAUUGGUGGUGUGUUUGAAACUUUCAGAUAUGGGAGGUGAAGGAAGUGAGCUUGUCUACAAACCAAGA